CACCUUAUGAACUUCAUCAAGUUCAAUUUUAUAGGUAUUAGUUCCUUCACUAAGGAACUUCUUUUUCAAAAAGACUGUCCGGCUGCUGACAAACACCUUUUGUUCUACAGUGAGAUAGAAGUAGUACCCUUUAGUUUUCUUUAGAUACUCCAUGAAUAAGCAUCUAUCAGACUUUGAUCCAAGCUUAUCUAUCUUUAAAUGCUUGAUAUAAGCUGGACACCCUCA
rnacentral:lncRNA from 1 species